rnacentral:rRNA from 1 species
CUACGGGCGGCAGCAGUGGGGAAUAUUGUACAAUGGGCGCAAGCCUGAUGCAGCCAUGCCGCGUGUAUGAAGAAGGCCUUCGGGUUGUAAAGUACUUUCAGCGGGGAGGAAGGGAGUAAAGUUAAUACCUUUGCUCAUUGACGUUACCCGCAGAAGAAGCACCGGCUAACUCCGUGCCAGCAGCCGCGGUAAUACGGAGGGUGCAAGCGUUAAUCGGAAUUACUGGGCGUAAAGCGCACGCAGGCGGUUUGUUAAGUCAGAUGUGAAAUCCCCGGGCUCAACCUGGGAACUGCAUCUGAUACUGGCAAGCUUGAGUCUCGUAGAGGGGGGUAGAAUUGCAGGUGUAGCGGUGAAAUGCGUAGAGAUCUGGAGGAAUACCGGUGGCGAAGGCGGCCCCCUGGACGAAGACUGACGCUCAGGUGCGAAAGCGUGGGGAGCAAACAGGAUUUGAUACCCCCGUAGUC